GUGCUCAUUUCAUCAGCAUAUACAUUAAAAUUGGGAUGAUAAGGGAAGAUUAGCAUGACCCCUAUGGAAGGUUGACAUGCAAAUUUGUGAAGUGUUCUAUUUUUAC
ensembl:snRNA RNU6-159P RNA, U6 small nuclear 159, pseudogene